rnacentral:rRNA from 1 species
CUUGGUUGAUCCUAUUAGUAGUCAUAUGCUUGUCUCAAAGAUUAAGCCUUCCAUAUGUAAGUAUGAAAUAAUUCAGACUGUGAAACUAUGAAUGGCUCAUUAAAUCAGUUAUAGUUUGUUUGAUGGUAUCUACUACUUGGAUAACCAUAGUAAUUCUAGAGCUAAUACGUGCAACAAACCUUGACUUGUAAAAGGGAUGCAUUUAUUAGAUAAAAGGUCGAUGUAAGCUUUGUUCAUUGCUAUGAUGAUUCAUGAUAACUCAAUGGAUGGCAUGGCUUUUGUGAUGGUGACACAUCAUUCAAAUUCUACCCUAUCAACUUUCGAUGGAAGGAUAGUGGCCUACUAUGGUGGUGAUGGGUGAUAGAGAAUUAGGGUUUGAUUUCAGAGAGGGAGCCUUAGAAAUGGCUACCACAUCCAGGGAAGGUAGCAGGUGUGCAAAUUACCUAAUCUUGGGGAGGUAGUGACAAUAAAUAACAAUGCCAGGCUUUAUGAGCCCUGUAAUUAGAAUGAGUAAGAUCUAAAUCCCUUAAUGAGGAUCCAUUGGAAGGCAAGUCUGGUGCUAGUAGCCAUGGGAAUUCCAUCUCCACUAGCAUAAUUUAAGUCAUUGCAGUUAAAAUGCUCAUAGUUGAAACUAUGGUUGGGUCGUUUGGUCUGCUUCAUGGUGAGCACCAGUAUACUCAUCCCUACUAUUAGUGAUGCACUCCUAGCCUAUGCUUGUAUACAUUAGCAUGGGAUAACAUUAUAGAAUUUUUGUCCUAUUCUAUUGGCCUUCAGGAUUAGAGUAAUGAUUAAUAAAGACAGUUGCAGGUAUUUGUAUUUCAUAGUCAAAGGUGAAAUUCUUGGAUUUAUGAAAGAUAACAACUACAAAAGCAUUUGUUGAAGAUGUUUUAUUAAUCAAGAAUGAAAGUUAGGGCUUGAAGCUAAUCUUAUACCAUCCUAGUCUUAACCAUAAAUGAUGCCGACCAUGGAUUAGCAGAUGUUACUUUUAGGACUUUGCCGAUACCUUAUGAAAAAUCAACGUCUUUGGGCUUCAAAGGGAGUAUGGUCACAAGGCUAAAACUUAAAGGAAUUAAUGAAAAGGCACCACCUGCAGUGGCUCUUGUAGCUUAAUUUGACUCAACACAGGGAAACUUAUUGAUCCAGACUUAGUAAGGAUUGAUAAACUGAGAGCUCUUUCUUGAUUCUAUGGGUGGUGGUGCAUGGUAGUUCUUAGUUGGUGCAAAGAUUAGUCUGGUUAAUUUCAUUAACGAACAAGACCUCAGCCUACUAACUAGCUACGCAAAGGUGAUCCUUCAUGGCUAGCUUAUUGAAAGGACUAUGGUCACUUAGGCCAAGGAAGUUUUAGGCAAUAACAAGUUUGUGAUGCGCUUAGAUGUUCUAGGCUACAUGCACGCUACACUAAUGUAUUCAACGAGUCUAUAGCCUUAGCCGACAAGCCUGAGUAAUCUUUGAAAUUUUAUCAUGAUGGAGAUAGAUCAUUCCAAUUAUUGGUCUCCAAUAAGGAAUUCUUAGUAAACGUAAGUCAUUAGCUCACAUUGACUACGUCCUUAUCCUUUGUACACACCACCCAUCACUCCUGCAAAUUGAAUGUCCUGAUAAAAUGUUUGGAUCAUGAGAAGUCCACUAAACCUUAUCAUUUAAAGGAAAAAAAGUCAUAACAAGGUUUACGUAGGUGAACCUGUGGAAG